rnacentral:rRNA from 1 species
AUAUCAAUAAGCGGAGGAAAAGAAACCAACAGGGAUUGCCUCAGUAACGGCGAGUGAAGCGGCAACAGCUCAAAUUUGAAAUCUGGCUCACGCCCGAGUUGUAAUUUGUAGAGGAUGUUUCGGGUGAAGCCGCGGUCCAAGUCCCUUGGAACAGGACGUCAUAGAGGGUGAGAACCCCGUACCUGGCCGCCGGUGCCCCCCGCUGUGAAACUCCUUCGACGAGUCGAGUUGUUUGGGAAUGCAGCUCUAAAUUGGUGGUAAAUUCCAUCUAAAGCUAAAUACCGGCCAGAGACCGAUAGCGCACAAGUAGAGUGAUCGAAAGAUGAAAAGCACUUUGAAAAGAGAGUUAAAAAGUAC